ACCUCCGACCGUUUCACGGCAAACAGAAGUUAUAAAAACAUUCCUCUCGUCUUGUAUUUCAUUUUGAUACCUAGAUCGGAGUCUAGGGUGCACUUUUACAGUCGGCCGGAGCUGUAGAAGCUCCGGCAUUCUUCUCCGAUUCGCACAUCUCUAAAAUAUCACGAUAUUAUCAGUAAUAUCACGAUAUUAUCAGUAAUAUCGCGAUAUUGUCGAUAUUAUCUAUAAUAUCGUGAUAUUUUGACAAAACCUCAAUGGAUAAGUAUUAAAAUAUCGGUAAUUCAAAAAACCGAUAUUAUCGGCGAAAUAUCGCCGAUAAUAUCGGCAUUUCAUACCUUGGUAGUAAGUUAUGGAUUUUCUGUUUUUAUCGUAUAAACUUGCACAAGUAAAAUGUCGGCAUGUGCACACCGUAGCAAUACAUUGGACACCAUUUACAAUCAGUAUCUAAUGUUUCGUCCUUAAAAGCACAAAAUGUUGGUUGACUGGAUCCUAAUGUUGAUUCAGUCAUUCUUUUUAGAAUGCACUAAACACACAAAGUUUUAGGCCUUGAUUUUUGUUUGUUUGCUUAGGUUAGCUGAAACUUGAAGUUGGAGGACAUGCGAGUGGUAUAUCACCAAAAUGAAGCCAUGAGCACCGUGCUGCAACAACCAAGACUCUGUAUUAUAACAUUCCAGUUCACAUAAUAAAAUAUUGUCCGCUUUGGGCCACGUCCUUACGGAGUUGUACUUGGGCUUCCACCCAAAACACGUCUCAUUAUAGGAAGGUGGGCACGUACAUAUAAGGCACAUCACCCCCUCUUUCCCGAACGAUGUGGGAUCUCACACGUAUUAUAAGAAUCUGCAACUCGGUGCAUUGAAGAUCCUCUAAUGAUAUAUAGUGGAACCCUGAAGCUAUUGAACAUAGCGACGUAAUAUGUGUGGAGCCAUUUUUCAAAGGAAAAAAAAUUCAUCGGCCGGUGAAGGUUAUUUAGCUUGGUGGGUUGGGUUAUACGGAUCUUCAGCUUGGUGAAUGUAAUUUCUCCUGAUUGUUUUGGGUAUCUAAGUAAGAUUGGGAAAGAAAAGGAGAUUGUGGAACUUUCAUGGUUGAGUUCCAGCACUCUAUACGUAUUCUGCCCUGUAGCAUGUACUCAUGCAGUUCCAACUUUUCUACAAGCUCGAUACAGGGAAAUGAACCUUUAUGUUCAAUAAAAAGGGUGUCUUUAUGCUGGGAUCAUCACAGCUUACGCAUCUUUUCAACCUUUAAAGUCCUUCAGGGUAAGAUUUAGGUAGCAAAAUAGUUGAUUGAAAAUUUGAAACGAAGAGUUGGCUUUCUUUUUGUUGAACUAAUUUAAACUGCUUGGGUGUAAGAUUUAGAUAAUGAAAUAGUCUGUUGAUGCACAAAACCGGAUGGUCUUGGUACAACGUAAAUCCGACCGUGAAUCUGCAUAA